AUGCCAGCAAUAUUUUACAAGAGAUGCUGGGAUUUGGUUGGUGAGAGGGUCAGAUGUGAGGUACUCGCAGUUCUAAAUGGAGGCCCAAUUCCAGAGGAGUGGAACAGAACUACAGUUGUGCUAAUUCCAAAGAGUAAAAAUCCAGAAAGGAUUAAGGAUUUCAUACCAAUUAGUCUCUGUAAUAUGCUAUACAAAAUUAUUUCCAAGGUUCUUACUAGUAGACUGAAAGUCUUUCUUGGAGACAUUAUCUCGCAAAAUCAAAGUGCCUUCAUUCCAGGUCGAUUGAUCACUGACAAUGUCCUGGUUGCUUACGAGAUGUCUCACUAUAUAAGAAACAAAAGAAAUGGACAAAAUGCUUUCAUGGAAAUCAAACUUGAUAUGAGUAAAGCAUAUGAUAGGGUGGAAUGGAAUUUUCUCGAAGCAAUGUUGAUCAAGCUUGGAUUCCAUAAUAAGUGGGUUUCUCUCUUGAUGAACUGUGUUCGAUCAGUGACUUACAGAGUUAAAGUGAAAGGCGAUUUGACAGAUGUGAUAUACCCUCAGCAGGGUCUGAGACAAGGAGACCCACUUUCCCCCUAUCUCUUUCUCAUCUGUGACGAAGGAUUUUCCUCCUUACUCCAUAUUGCUGAGGAACAAGGGUUGAUUGAAGGCAUUCAGAUUUCUCCAGGGGCGCCGAGUGUGUCACACUUGCUUUUUGCGAAUGACUCCCUUCUCCUCCUAAUGGCAGAUUGUGACAAUGCUUCAGAACUUCAACAUAUCCUUGACCUGUAUGAGGAAUGUUCGGGACACAUUAUCAACAGGGAUAAGAGUAGUGUGCUUUUCAGCCCAAACUGUAAUAAUACGCAGAAGAUAGAAAUUAUGGAUUUUCUGAAUAUUUCCUGUGAGGGACAAAAUGAGAGGUAUCUAGGGCUCCCAGUUCAUAUAGGCAAGUCAAAGAAAAGAGUUUUCCAAUAUCUGAAAGGGAAAUUUUGUGCAAGAAUCCAAGGUUGGAAAGAGAGAACGUUUUAUAAAUCCGGAAAAGAAAUUCUUAUUAAGGCGGUGGCUCGGGAGAUCCCAACUUAUGCUAUGUCAUGCUUUGACAUCACUAAAGGGAUUUGCGAGGAGAUUUCUUCCAUGGUAUGUUGUUUCUGGUGGAGUCAAAUGGAUGAAGAAAAUAAAUUACAU
rnacentral:rRNA from 1 species